UAGGGAAUCUUCCGCAAUGGACGAAAGUCUGACGGAGCAACGCCGCGUGAGUGAAGAAGGAUUUCGGUUCGUAAAACUCUGUUGUUAGGGAAGAAAAAAUGUAUAGUAACUAUAUACAAAAGAGACGGUACCUAACCAGAAAGCCACGGCUAACUACGUGCCAGCAGCCGCGGUAAUACGUAGGUGGCAAGCGUUGUCCGGAAUUAUUGGGCGUAAAGCGCGCGCAGGUGGUUUAGAAAGUCUGAUGUGAAAGCCAACGGCUCAACCGUGGAGGGUCAUUGGAAACUAAUAAACGUGAGUGCAGGAGAGAAAAGUGGAAUUCCUAGUGUAGCGGUGAAAUGCGUAGAGAUUAGGAGGAACACCGGUGGAGAAAGCGGCUUUUGGCCUGCAACUGACACUGAGGCGCGAAAGCGUGGAGAGCAAACAGG
rnacentral:rRNA from 1 species